GAUGCUGACUGGGGUGCUGUGGUGGGGGCCCCGGUCUGCUUCAUCUCUGUCCCACGAAGCCUGGGGAACACAGAGCUGAGCCCUGCAGUGCCCGGCACAUCCUCCAUUCUUUCCACAGAAUAUUCCAUUCGGCUGUGACCUUUAGGAAGGCAUCCAUCUGGACAUUUGCAAAGUGGAUUCUCAUCUUUCAGUCUGUAUCAUUUCAAUAUCAUCUGCUACAGAGAGGCAAUUAGAUAAGGAAACAGGAGUUUCCGAUCACCCCCACCCCCCGAUGGCCGUGACUUCCACGG